ACUGAGACACGGACCAGACUCCUACGGGAGGCAGCAGUGAGGAAUAUUGGUCAAUGGGAGAGAUCCUGAACCAGCCAAGCCGCGUGAGGGAAGACGGCCCUAUGGGUUGUAAACCUCUUUUGUCGGAGAACAAAACCCGGGACGAGUCCCGGACUGCGUGUAUCCGAAGAAAAAGCAUCGGCUAACUCCGUGCCAGCAGCCGCGGUAAUACGGAGGAUGCGAGCGUUAUCCGGAUUUAUUGGGUUUAAAGGGUGCGUAGGCGGUCCGUUAAGUCAGCGGUAAAAUUGCGGGGCUCAACCCCGUCGAGCCGUUGAAACUGGCAGACUUGAGUUGGCGAGAAGUACGCGGAAUGCGCGGUGUAGCGGUGAAAUGCAUAGAUAUCGCGCAGAACUCCGAUUGCGAAGGCAGCGUACCGGCGCCACACUGACGCUGAGGCACGAAAGCGUGGGGAUCGAACAGGAUUAGAUACCCUGGCAGUCCACGCAGUAAACGAUGAAUGCUGGUUGUCCGGGUCGAAUGAGAUCUGG
rnacentral:rRNA from 1 species